rnacentral:rRNA from 1 species
GAUGAACGCUGGCGGCGUGCCUAAUACAUGCAAGUCGAGCGAACAGACGCGGAGCUUGCUCCUCUGACGUUAGCGGCGAACGGGUGAGUAACCCGUGGAUAACCUACCUAUAAGACUGGGAUCACUUCGGGAAACCGGAGCUAAUACCGGAUACUAUAUUGAACCGCAUGGUUCAAUAGUGAAAGACGGUUUUGCUGUCACUUAUAGAUGGAUCCGCGCCGCAUUAGCGAGUUGUUAAGGUAACGGCUUACCAAGGCAACGAUGCGUAGCCGACCUGAGAGGGUGAUCGACCACACUGGAACUGAGAGACGGUCCAGACUCCUACGGGAGGCAGCAGUAGGGAAUCUUCCGCAAUGGGCGAAAGCCUGACGGAGCAACGCCGCGUGAGUGAUGAAGGUCUUCGGAUCGUAAAACUCUGUGAUUAGGGAAGAACAAAUGUGUAAGUAACUAUGCACGUCUUGACGGUACCUAAUCAGAGAGCCACGGCUAACUACGUG